GAAACAUAACCUCCUCCUCCUCAUCAGAUCGCGGCUAUUCCUGACUAGCGCUUUCUGGUCGACCUUCUCACUUGUUCUGUAUGACUUCUUAAAAAUCAUUCUGUUAGUUCUGGUGUGGUGUCGUUAGGAUAAUUGUUUCGCUCUGUUCUUUUCUGCUUAAAUAUUAAUGAUACUGAGGAAUUCAAAAGAUAGCUCCAAUAAUGGAUCUGCACAUCGCUACAGCACACCUCCCGUGUCCUGCACUGGGAAGUGAGAAGAAACUCAGGUCACUUGGAGCAUCCAGGCAUGAACACAAUCACAGAAUUUCCAAAGUAUGUCACAGGACCAUUUAUUUCUAACCUCAAAGUUAAAACAUUUUCUUCAUCGUGCGCUGACAGGGCUGUGUGGGACCCGGGGAACGCCCCGGAGCUGUGCUGAAACACCCUCUGUGGAACCUCAGCUUUCCUUCUGCUGCAUUCAGCACUGUGAUUUCCCUGCAUCUUUCUAAACCCAAGAACAUCUCACCUCGCGCUGAGAUGUCCGCGUAGAAGUCUCAAGGGGAAAACAUUUAAGGUUUGAAUUAUUUCACUUUAUUUUGUUGUAUUCGUUGUGAUCUAGAGGAAAAAGUGGAGUUUUACUGUCUGUGCCUACGUCCGUUAAGAGGGAUAUAAUAGCAGGCGAGGAGAGGAGAGAGCGAAUGACUGCCGGAGUGAGAGGUGUGGGAAGCAGCGUGCAGGUACUUGUGGGAAAAACAUUCAGGGCCACAAUGGCACAGGGACCGCAGAACAGGUGAGCGAAACCGUUCUCUUCAGGGCAGGAGGGCCGCUCUGCCCUCCUUCCUGCGUGCUCUCCUCCACCACGCACGCACUGAGCGUGAGGACGAUGGCGCGGGGCCUUAAGGCCACCCGCCCAGGUAACAGCCGCUGGCGGAGCUGGGCCCGCUGCCCGCUUCCUGCGCCGGCUGCGCGGAGCCAGCACUGUAGGCCGGCAUCCCCCCUGCAGAGAGCCGCGUGCCCUGCCCG
rnacentral:lncRNA from 1 species